GGGGGCGUACUGGUUUCGACGGGGAUGCGGAGACCGGAAUAGCGGGCGGAUGCGCCUGACAUCCUUAAAACGGGCACCUAUAAAUUAAAGAACAACGAAAAGCCUGUUCUUCUCGCUGCCUAAGCAGUGAGCGUCCACGCCGGGAGGGCCGCGGCCCGGCUGCUGGGCGUUGAUUAGCGGCGAACGUGAGUGCGCAAAGCUUUGAGCGCACCAUGCAUAAUGAAGCUACCAAACCCGGAAGUGUGAGCGUUCACGUCCGGAUAAGGGAAUGUAAAUAACUCUCUGCGCCCGGAGAGGUUCCGGAGGAAGCAUUCUCGGACGGGGGUUCGAUUCCCCCCGCCUCCACCA
rnacentral:tmRNA from 2 species